rnacentral:lncRNA from 1 species
CUUUUAUUAAGCAAAAUAAAAACUAAAUAAAAUCUGCCAUUGAGGAGGGUGGUGGAGGAGGAGAGUUAUGAUGAUGUCGGAGUGAUGUCCAAACCAGGGCAAAACACUGAUGAGUUUGAGGACGAGUUUGAAGACUCAGAAACUUAUGAGGACAUUGAGAGCAGAUGGCCGGAUCCAGAGAGUGAGAAAACAAACAAGUCAAAGAAAGAGAAAGAGAGUAAAAAGCAGAAAAAGAAGAUGGAGAAGGAGGAGAAGGAGAGGGUGGAGCGAGAGAGGAAGGAGAAGAAGGAGAUGGAGAAGAGAGAGCAGGAGGCCAGAAAGAGGUUUAAGGUAAGAGUUGGGGGCGGGGCUCAAAGGGUUCUUUAGUCAUGAUGCUGAAUUCUUUAUUUACCGUACUUUUUGCAUCUUAAGGCGCAUUUUAAGAACUAACUGUUUAUUUGGGUGA